rnacentral:rRNA from 1 species
UGGGGAAUUGUUCGCAAUGGGCGCAAGCCUGACGACGCAACGCCGCGUGGAGGAUGAAGGUCUUCGGAUUGUAAACUCCUGUUGCCCGGGACGAAAUGCUCCAACCUAAUACGUUGGAGUUUGACGGUACCGGGUGAGGAAGCCCCGGCUAACUCUGUGCCAGCAGCCGCGGUAAUACAGAGGGGGCAAGCGUUGUUCGGAAUUACUGGGCGUAAAGGGCGCGUAGGCGGCCUGCUAAGUCGAACGUGAAAUCCCUGGGCUCAACCCAGGAACUGCGUCCGAUACUGGUUGGCUUGAAUUCGGGAGAGGGAUGCGGAAUUCCAGGUGUAGCGGUGAAAUGCGUAGAUAUCUGGAGGAACACCGGUGGCGAAGGCGGCAUCCUGGACCGAGAUUGACGCUGAGGCGCGAAAGCCAGGGGAGCAAACGGG